UGGCGGACGGGUGAGUAAUGUCUGGGAAACUGCCUGAUGGAGGGGGAUAACUACUGGAAACGGUAGCUAAUACCGCAUAACGUCGCAAGACCAAAGAGGGGGACCUUCGGGCCUCUUGCCAUCGGAUGUGCCCAGAUGGGAUUAGCUAGUAGGUGGGGUAACGGCUCACCCGGCGGACGAUCCCUAGCUGGUCUGAGAGGAUGACCAGCCACACUGGAACUGAGACACGGUCCAG
rnacentral:rRNA from 1 species